rnacentral:hammerhead_ribozyme from 1 species
GUACUGAUGAAGAGUCCGAAACAGCCAGGACGAAACAACUGUCCAGUAC